GAUGAACGCUGGCGGCGUGCCUAACACAUGCAAGUCGAACGAUAAGACGAGACGCUUGCUUGUUUGAUGUUAGCGGCGCGCGGGGGUGUAACAUGUGUAGAACCCACCUAUAUGACGGGGAUAACCUCGGGAAACCGGAGCUUAUACCGGAUAAUAUUCUGAAGCGCAUGGUGCAGAAGUGAAAGACGUCUUUGCUUUCACUGAUCGCUGGAUCCGCGCGGGAUUAGCUAGUAGGUAAGGUAACGGCUUACCUAGGCAAUGAUGCAUAGCCGACCUGAGAGGGUGAUCAGCCACACUGGAACUGAGACACGGUCCAGACUCCUACGGGAGGCAGCAGUAGGGAAUCUUGCACAAGGGGCGAAAGCCUGACGGAGCCACGCCGCGUGAGUGAUGAAGGUCUUCGGAUCGUAAAACUCUGUUAGUAGGGAAGAAGAUAUGAGUAAGUAACUGUGCACAUCUUGACGUUACCUGAUGAAGAAGCAACGGCUAACUACGUG
rnacentral:rRNA from 1 species